rnacentral:rRNA from 1 species
AACGAAGGCUGGCGGCAUGCCUAACACAUGCAAGUCGAACGAGACCUUCGGGUCUAGUGGCGCACGGGUGCGUAACGCGUGGGAACCUGCCCUUAGGUUCGGAAUAACUCCCCGAAAGGGGUGCUAAUACCGGAUAAUGUCUUCGGACCAAAGAUUUAUCGCCUUUGGAUGGGCCCGCGUUGGAUUAGCUAGUUGGUAGGGUAAAAGCCUACCAAGGCGACGAUCCAUAGCUGGUCUGAGAGGAUGAUCAGCCACACUGGGACUGAGACACGGCCCAGACCCCUACGGGAGGCAGCAGUGGGGAAUAUUGGACAAUGGGCGAAAGCCUGAUCCAGCAAUGCCGCGUGAGUGAUGAAGGCCUUAGGGUUGUAAAGCUCUUUUACCCGGGAUGAUAAUGACAGUACCGGGAGAAUAAGCUCCGGCUAACUCCGUG